CUUCAAGGUACAUACCUGAUGAGUUGCUUUCCAUCUACUACUUAAAGGAAUUCAGCGAGGCCUUACUGACCAGGUGAUGACUACUCGGAGACCACUUGAACCAGAAUACUUCUGCAGUCCCAAUUUGACCAGUACAUUUAUAUUUCUUUGUCUGGAGAUGAUACAGGGGAGACUAAGAGAGCUGGGGAACUUACUGGGCUACCUAGAG